CAUACAUUAUAUUAGCAUUUAAAAUUUUAGCAAUCAUUUCUUGACAGUGUAAUUUUUAUAAGAUUAAACAGUAAAAAUUAUGUUUUCUUUGCUCAAAAGAACUUUGAUAUACACUCAAAGUGAUUACGUCUUAUGACCUUGCUUAAUUUUUUGUCUGUUUCUUCUUUCAGUUGUAAAAGAUUGAAGUAUCUCAAAGUAACUUCAUUCUAAUACAUUUCUUAGUUAUCUCAUCAUUUGUUCUUAAUAUUUUAAUUGCUUUCUUAUUUAGUACAUUUGCAUGUAACCAUAUUAUGUAUACUUUGAAAAACAUACACUUUUUGCCUAUUCAUAGAUUUCCCACAGUAAUCCUCUCCUCUAGAAUUUCUACCUAAACCUGCAAUCUCAAAAGUAGUUCUAAGACUUGCCUCUCCUGGAUGUUGUCUUGUUCCAAGACCUAGUUAAGGUUGGGUAUAGAGGGAAAGAAUGACUGAAAUGCAAAUUCACACUGCUAUUAGGUGCUUUAGGCUUUUAAUGUCUAAUAUAUUUUUUCUUCCUGAUUUUUAUGAUUUUAACAGGUCUCCUCAACAAUGUAGAAUACAGAAUACUGACAAGAGUAUUAGCAGUAAACUAAGAAGAACAGAGAAAUUGAAUUAAAAGUGAGAAAAUGGAGAGAGUCAAAUGCACAGGGCAGAGAUCCCUGUUCUUUGUGAAACUGAUUCAGAAAGCUGGAGUUGAUAGUCCUGAAAUCUUCUAGAGAACUGACAGCUACCUGAAACUGCAGCAGGGCCAUUCCUGAUGGACAUGACUACAAGCACUGACUCACAUUCUGUGACUCAGGAUGGUUGGAUGGCAUCACCGACUCAAUGGACCUGAGUUUGAGCAAGCUCCAGGAGAUGGUGAAGGACAAGGAAGCCUGGCGUGCUGAGGUCCAUGGAUAUGAAUGAGCGACUGAACAACAAGAAGAUGUAGACUGAAUAGUAUCUUGAACCUGUCCUGUUCCAUUAUACCAUUUUACUACAAUGUGGCCAUGCUUAGAGUUGCUUUAAAAAAUAAAGUUUUCAUAUCAAGCCAUCAUUUGUAUAUCUUUAUGAAAGGAUGCAGACACAUUACCAUAAUUUGAACUUUCAUAAUUCUAGUCACUUAGAACCUGAAUAAAAUAGGAACAAACAGGGA